rnacentral:lncRNA from 1 species
AUGCACGGACUGAAGGGUGAGAUGAAUCUGCUGUGCAGCUGCAGGACGAAGAUGAGUGUGUGUCGUCUGUGUCUGCUGCUGUCUCUGCUCUGCGUCUGCGCUCACGUCUACAUGCAGCUCGAGGGUCUGCAUCUCCGGAAACAGAGCCAGCAUCACAGGACUGUCGCCACGGCAACAGAUGCUGCAGCUGAUGCUGGAUCCACCUGCUGCUCAGCGCUGAAACAUCACAGACAGGGCUUCUGCGUUUCUGAAGAGCGGAUAUCAGGAAUUAAACGAAGGCAGCUGUGCAAACAAAGCAGCCGAUGGCUAAAUGUGCGCCAGAGACUCGCUGGGAUUUUGUUGAUCCUUGAACGACGCUAAGUUAUUCAUUGAUCCCUAAAACAGGAAAAAAGGAAUAGUUCACCCAAAAAUUAACAUUUGCUAUGAUGAGUUGUUCUUCAUCAGAUUUGUAGAAAUGUAGCACUGCAUCAGUGUCUCAGCAAUGGAUGCUCUGCAGUGAAUGGGUGCCGUUAGAAUGAGAGUCCAAACAGCUGAUAAAAACAUCACAAUAAUCCACAAGUAAUCCACAGCACUCCAGUCCAUCAGUUAACAUCUGGAGAAGACAAAAGAUGAAACACAUCCAGCAUUAAGAUGUUUUUAACUCAAAUACAUAGAGUUCAUAAUCCAUAAUAACACUUCCUCCAGUGAAAAAGUGUUCUGGUGUGAAUCAGGAGAGAAAUCAGCACAGAUCAAGCAGCGUUUAAACAGCUCUAAAC